rnacentral:rRNA from 1 species
GACGUAGGGCGCGAGCGUUGUCCGGAUUUAUUGGGCGUAAAGAGCUCGUAGGCGGCUUGUUGCGUCGACUGUGAAAACCCGCGGCUUAACUGCGGGCUUGCAGUUGAUACGGGCAGGCUAGAGUUCGGUAGGGGAGACUGGAAUUCCUGGUGUAGCGGUGAAAUGCGCAGAUAUCAGGAGGAACACCGGUGGCGAAGGUGGGUCUCUGGGCCGAUACUGACGCUGAGGAGCGAAAGCGUGGGGAGCGAACAGG